rnacentral:misc_RNA from 1 species
AAUCCAACUAUCUUCAUGCGAAUACGAGGAGUGUUGGCCAUGUAUCUGAUGUUUCUUCGCCUGCUCUUCCACUGCACCAACGGUCACUUAUUGCGACACAGAUCCCUGCACAAGCGAAUGAUCAAUCCCCGUGAGCUCUUAAACGAUUUUGCUGCAAUCAAGGAACUAGGAACCAGCGA